rnacentral:rRNA from 1 species
UGGGGAAUAUUGCACAAUGGGCGCAAGCCUGAUGCAGCAACGCCGCGUGAACGAUGAAGGUCUUCGGAUCGUAAAGUUCUGUUGCAGGGGAAGAUAAUGACGGUACCCUGUGAGGAAGCCCCGGCUAACUACGUGCCAGCAGCCGCGGUAAUACGUAGGGGGCUAGCGUUAUCCGGAUUUACUGGGCGUAAAGGGUGCGUAGGUGGUCUUUCAAGUCGGUGGUUAAAGGCUACGGCUCAACCGUAGUUAGCCUCCGAAACUGGAAGACUUGAGUGCAGGAGAGGAAAGUGGAAUUCCCAGUGUAGCGGUGAAAUGCGUGGAUAUUGGGAGGAACACCAGUAGCGAAGGCGGCUUUCUGGACUGCAACUGACACUGAGGCACGAAAGCGUGGGUAGCAAACAGG